AUUAUUAAGUUAAAAGGCUCUGACCCAAGGAACGGUUUAAUCCACUGAUAAAUUUAAACUGUGAAUGGAUUUAGGAGCCAGUGAAACUGGAAGGUGGGGCUUGGCUGUUAGAAGGCGGUCACCAAGGACACGUCUUUGGGGGCUCUUGGCCCCUUCCUCUGACCGCUCUGCCCUGAACCCUGUCUGCUGUGAUGUGAGCUAUUCUGCCGGGUCCUCCUGCCAUGGCAGACUGAAACCGCUCUAGCCAACAUGGAACCAGGAACCGAAUCUCUGGGCAAACUGUUGAGUUCCGAGGCUGGCACCCCUUCCAAUCAGAAUCUCCAACAGUGAACACCAAUCCAGCCUACAGUGUGCUGAGGCCUUCCCAGCUCUAGGCCCCGUCUGCAGCUUCUUUUGCAGCAGCCUGACACACGAGGAGCCGAGAAGUCAAAUCCUAGGAGUUCUGUUGUUUUGACCGUGGAAACGAAGGGGUCGGUCAUUGCAUCUACACCUUUAAGAACCACAACAUUCUUCUGUUGGUUUUUGAGAGACCGAGAUGCUUGUGGAUAAGAAGCUGAAGGAGCUGACCUGAAGACAAAAUUACAGUUUAAGUCACAAGCAGACACCCUGCUCUCUAACGCUUGGCGAAACACACUGUGAAUUACCAUUUAACUUCCCUAUUUCGAAAGAGCUCUAGGGAGAUAUUUGAACCGAAAGCUGAAGGGUAGGCAUGAGGAAAAGAUCUCUGGCAGAUGGGAGAUGCUAGCAAGAGCUAGCUGAUGGAGGGACCUGUUGACUCCAUCCAGUAUCCAGAUUGUUCUGUAGACCAUGUGGGGCUGCGGGACUCCCAGGGCCUGCCCUGUCAGCUUUGCCUUAGAAGAGGCUCUCUUCUUAGUCUGAGUGGGAGACGAAAAGGGACUAAAGGCAGAGGGACUAGUUAGGCAACACUCUUAUGUAAAUUGAGCAAGAAGUACCAAACACUGAAAACACUAAACACCACAUAAAGUGCUGUGGGGGAACCCAAAGAGGUUUCAGGAGCCAACACCUGCAAGACUUACUCACUGCUCCCAGGGAUCUUAGAAGGUGGAGGGUGGAGACGGCCUCCUGCAUUCCACAGCUGGCAUGUCCACAGCAGAAUGCAGGAGGAGAAACAGGUUUGGAAAGGAAGUUAGUAGCUGCGUUUGUCGACGCACGGAGUGGGUCACCCGCGUAGGAUGCCCACAUCAGGUGAGCAGGUGGGUCUGGCACCAGGACAAAGGGCUGGCCUAGGAACAACACAAACAUUUCUCAGUGACACUUCUGUCCCCACUUAAUGAAUUUUUUAAAAAUAGACAUUGG